rnacentral:rRNA from 1 species
AUUGAACGCUGGCGGCAGGCCUAACACAUGCACGUCGAACGAGUGGCGGACGGGUGAGUAAUGUCUGGGACACUGCCCGAUGGAGGGGGAUAACUACUGGAAACGGUAGCUAAUACCGCAUACCAGCGGAUGUGCCCAGAUGGGAUUAGCUAGUAGGUGGGGGAACGGCUCACCUAGGCGACGAUCCCUAGCUGGUCUGAGAGGAUGACCAGCCACCCUGGAACUGAGACACGGUCCAGACUCCUACGGGAGGCAGGAGUGGGGAAGAUUGCACAAGGGGCGCCAGCCUGAUGCAGCCAUGCCGCGUGUAUGAAGAAGGCCUUCGGGUUGUAAAGUACUUUCAGCGAGGCAUUAACUACAGAAGAAGCACCGGCUAACUCCGUGCCAGCCGCCGCGGUAAUAC